rnacentral:tRNA from 1 species
CCUGAUGGCUCAGAUGGUAAAGCAUCUGCCUACAAUGCGGGAGACCCAGGUUCGAUCCCUGGGUCAGGA